UAAGCGGAGGACAAGAAACUAACAAGGAUUCCCUUAGUAACUGCGAGUGAAGUGGGAAAAGCUCAAAUUUAAAAUCUGGCAGUAUUUUUUACUGUUCGAAUUGUAAUCUAGAGAAGUAUUAUCUGUUCUGGACCAUAUAUAAGUCUCCUGGAAUGGGGCAUCAUAGAGGGUGAGAAUCCUGUCUUUGAUAUGGAUUACCAGAAUAUUAUGAUGUACUUUCAAUGAGUCGAGUUGUUUGGGAAUGCAGCUCUAAAUGGGUGGUAAAUUCCAUCUAAAGCUAAAUAUUGGCGAGAAACCGAUAGUGAACAAGUACCGUGAGGGAAAGAUGAAAAGAACUUUGGAAAGAGAGUUAAACAGUACGUGAAAUUGUUGAAAGGGAAACACUUAAAGUCAGUCACAUUGGUCAGAAAUCAAUCUUGCUUUUAGCUUGAUGUAUUUUCUGAUUAAUUGGUCAGCAUCAAUUUUAAUCAGUGGAAAAAGAUUAAGAAAAUGUGGCAUCUUUUGAUGUGUUAUAGUUCUUUAUCAUAUGCACUGAUUUGAAUUGAGGAAUUCAGCAUGCCAUAAAGGCCGGGUUUUAAUCACGUUCAUGCUUAGGAUGCUGGCAUAAUGGCUUUAAUUGACCCGUCUU
rnacentral:rRNA from 1 species